AAUCAACGCUGGCGGCGUGCCUCAGACAUGCAAGUCGAACGCUGCUGUUCGCCUUCGGGUGGACAGCGGAGUGGCGCACGGGUGAGUAACACGUAGGUAAUCUACCUUUGGGUGGGAAUAACAGCCGGAAACGGCUGCUAAUACCGCAUAAUGCAGCGGCAUCACAUGAUGACAGUUGUUAAAGCGGGGAUCGUAAGACCUCGCGCCUGAAGAGGAGCCUGCGGCAGAUUAGGUAGUUGGUGAGGUAAUGGCUCACCAAGCCUGCGAUCUGUAA
rnacentral:rRNA from 1 species